rnacentral:rRNA from 1 species
CUAAGGCUCCAGAGGGAGCCACGGCUAACUCUGUGCCAGCAGCCGCGGUAAUACAGAGGCGGCAAGCGUUGUUCGGAGUUAUUGGGCGCAAAGAGCGCGUAGGCGGCCUUGCAAGUCAGUUGUGAAAGCCUUCCGCUUAACGGAAGAAUGCCAGCUGAUACUACAGGGCUUGAGUACGGGAGGGGAGAGUGGAACUUCUGGUGGAGCGGUGAAAUACGUAGAUAUCAGAAGGAACGCCGGCGGCGAAAGCGACUCUCUGGCCCGAAACUGACGCUGAGUGUGCGAAAGCUAGGGGAGCAAACGGGAUUAGAUACCCCGGUAGUCCUAGCCGUAAA